rnacentral:tRNA from 1 species
GCGCCCAUAGCUUAAUUGGAUAGAGCAUUUGACUACGAAUCAAAAGGUUAGAGGUUCAACUCCUCUUGGGCGCG